rnacentral:rRNA from 1 species
AUUGAACGCUGGCGGCAGGCCUAACACAUGCAAGUCGAACGAGAGGCGGACGGGUGAGUAAUGUAUGGGGAUCUGCCCGAUGGAGGGGGAUAACUACUGGAAACGGUGGCUACUACAGCAUACUAUCGGAUGUACCCAUAUGGGAUUAGCUAGUUGGUGGGGUAACGGCUCACCAAGGCGACGAUCUCUAGCUGGUCUGAGAGGAUGAUCAGCCACACUGGAACUGAGACACGGUCCAGACUCCUACGGGAGGCAGCAGUGGGGAAUAUUGCACAAUGGGCGCAAGCCUGAUGCAGCCAUGCCGCGUGUAUGAAGAAGGCCUUAGGGUUGUAAAGUACUUUCAGCGGGGAGGCGUUACCCGCAGAAGAAGCACCGGCUAACUCCGUGCCAGCCGCCGCGGUAAUUC